rnacentral:rRNA from 1 species
UAGCGUAGGGCGCAAGCGUUGUCCGGAAUUAUUGGGCGUAAAGAGCUCGUAGGUGGCUUGUCACGUCGGGUGUGAAAGCUUGGGGCUUAACUCCAGGUCUGCAUUCGAUACGGGCUGGCUAGAGGUAGGUAGGGGAGAACGGAAUUCCUGGUGUAGCGGUGAAAUGCGCAGAUAUCAGGAGGAACACCGGUGGCGAAGGCGGUUCUCUGGGCCUUACCUGACGCUGAGGAGCGAAAGCGUGGGGAGCGAACAGG